UACCAGCUCUCCGAGUGGUAGGGAUGAUUAUUGGGCUUAAAGCGUCCGUAGCCGGCUUAGCAAGUUUCCUGUUAAAUUCAGCGACCUAAUCGUUGAGCCGCGGGAAAUACUACUAGGCUAGGAGGCGGGAGAGGUCGACGGUACUUCUGGGGUAGGGGUGAAAUCCUAUAAUCCCGGGAGGACCACCAGUGGCGAAGGCUGCCGACUAGAACGCGCUCGACGGUGAGGGACGAAAGCUGGGGGAGCGAACCGGAUUAGAUACCCGGGUAGUCCCAGCUGUAAACGAUGCGGGCUAGGUGUUGGGGUGGCUACGUGCCACUUCAGUGCCGCAGGGAAGCCAUUAAGCCCGCCGCCUGGGGAGUACGGCCGCAAGGCUGAAACUUAAAGGAAUUGGCGGGGGAGCACCACAAGGCGUGAAGCUUGCGGUUC
rnacentral:rRNA from 1 species